UGACCCUGAGAAUGGGCAAAGAGAUACCUAGUUGUUGGUUGUGUUCUUUUAUCCGUCAUGGGCAGAGCAGAUGGCAGUUCUUUGUUCAUCCUAGCUUGAUACCUGGCUUAAUGGUCAAAGAUGUUUAUGCCUAGGACUCAUAA